rnacentral:rRNA from 1 species
UACGGGGGGGGUAAGCGUUGUUCGGAAUUACUGGGCGUAAAGGGCUCGUAGGCGGCCAACUAAGUCAGACGUGAAAUCCCUCAGCUUAACUGGGGAACUGCGUCUGAUACUGGAUGGCUUGGAUUCGGGAGAGGGACGCGGAAUUCCAGGUGGAGCGGUGAAAUGCGUAGAGAUCUGGAAGAACACCAAAGGCGAAGGCAGCGUCCUGGUUUGUUACUGACGCUCAAGUGCGAAAGCUAGGGGAGCGAACGGG